GACGAACGCUGGCGGCGUGCUUAACACAUGCAAGUCGAACGGAAAGGCCCUGCUCUUGUGGGGUGCUCGAGUGCCGAACGGGUGAGUAACACGUGAGUAACCUGCCCUUGACUUUGGGAUAACUUCAGGAAACUGGGGCUAAUACCGGGUAGGAGAUCCUGCUGCAUGGUGGGGGUUGGAAAGUUUCGGCGGUGCGGGAUGGACUCGCGGCUUAUCCGCUUGUUGGUGGGGUAGUGGCUUACGAAGGCUUUGACGGGUAGCCGGCCUGGGAGGGUGACCGGCGACAUUGGGACUGAGAGACGGCCCAGACUCCUACGGGAGGCAGCAGGGGGGAAUAUUGCACAAUGGGCGGAAGCCUGAUGCAGCAACGCCGCGUGCGGGAUGACGGCCUUCGGGUUGUAAACCGCUUUCGCCUGUGACGAAGCGUGAGUGACGGUAAUUGGUAAAGAAGCACCGGCUAACUACGUG
rnacentral:rRNA from 1 species